UGGACCAGAGUAUCGGUGAUCUUACCUUGGCUAACUACAGAAGAUUACCGAAGAAUGGUUAGUUCUGCUGAUGUUGGUGUUUCAUUGCAUACAUCGAGUAGUCAAUUAGAUUUACCAAUGAAAAUUAUUGAUUUAUUCGGAUGUUGUGUCCCUGUUCUUGCAGUUUCAUUUAAAUGUUUGCCUGAACUUGUAAUUGAAGAUUUUAUUAAGUAACAAGUUUAUUAUAAUUCGCAAUUAUAAACAUGCACGCGACCUCAUUGCCAUUUUCGGUGAUCUUGAAAUUACUGUACAAUUUCUUACUGAAAUUGAUCAAUUGGUACAAUUAAUAGAGUCUCCAAUCUUUGCAUAUUUGAGGCUUGAACUAUUGGAUACUGGAAAAAACGAAGACCUGGUCAAGAGUCUUUAUGGUUUAUUGAUGCUUCUCCUACAAUCGGAUGCUUUCCAUCUCUUGAGGAAGAGACUUCAAUGUGUACCAAACUUGAAAAUAUUUUCAGUCAAUGGAUCAAUCAGCUCUUCAGAGACUUCAACUCAACCUAUCAUGGAUUUCAAGGAUUUGCUAAAACAUUUUCUGGAUAUUCAGGAGAAACACAAGACUUUGCGAAAAAGAGAAAGGAUCUACCAAAACAUGGUGAAGAUAAAAUUGCAUCUAUCGAUGCCAGUCCAAUUUAAUGAGACACCAAUUGAUUUGAAAAUCAAUUAACUUUUAAAUGACUGAUCGAUUGAUAUUAAACUUCUCAGU